AUCGCGUCUCGGCCUUUUGGCUGUGAUCCAGUGUAGUACCUGUUCUGAUCAGUUUAAUAUCUGAGACAUCCUCUAUCCGAGGACAAUAUAUUAAAUGGAUUUUUGGAGCAGGGAGAUGGAAUAGGAGCUUGCUCCGUCCACUCCAUGCAUCGACCUGGUAUUGCAGUGUUUCCAGGAACAGGGCACCCCCU